UGACAACACUAGAAAAUACAUCUGGAAGUAAAGGUUGGAGAAACUGGUAUUUUGACUCCAGGAUAGACUGCGGAAGACAAGAGUCUUUAAAUAUGUUAAAAGAGGAUGCUAUUUCCUGCAUUAGUGCCUCCUGGUUUGGUAACUGUGGAGAAUGAAGACCAGAAGAAGCACGGCAUCAUACAGACCUCCUAGUGAGGCACGGCCGUGUUUGUGCCUGGGAGGCUGGAGAAGAGCCCGUGUACUGAGGAGCUGUUGCAUGCAGUUUCAAUCACAUCUAGAGAGACUGGUUUUCUCUGUCACUGAGGUUGUCAGGUGCAAGUCUUUUCUUGAUGAAAAACAAGGCACUGCUUUGAAA